rnacentral:tRNA from 2 species
GGGUUCAUAACUCAAUUAGGUAGAGUGCUAUCCUCAUAAGAUAGGGGUUCCUGGUUCGAGUCCAGGUGGACCCA